rnacentral:rRNA from 1 species
GUGUCAGCAGCCGCGGUAAGACGUACUGCGCGAACGUUAUUCGGAAUCACUGGGCUUAAAGGGUGCGCAGGCGGCUCGCCAAGCCCGAAGUGAAAUGCCCCGGCCCAACCGGGGACGUGCUUCGGGGACUGGCGGGCUCGGGCGAGCUAGGGGUCUGUGGAACUCCCGGUGGAGCGGUGAAAUGUGUUGAGAUCGGGAGGAACGCCGGUGGCGAAAGCGACAGACUGGGGCUUUGCCGACGCUCAUGCACGAAAGCCAGGGGAGCGAACGGGAUUAGAUACCCCGGUAGUCC